ensembl:lincRNA Gm40293 predicted gene, 40293
GGUGACUCCAGGCUUCUUAAGAUGCUGAAGAGGUCCUAUCCACAGCUGUUUUGCUAGAGUUUAUCUCUCUUGCCAAAGACACUAUUGGAAAAACUAAAAGUUUUUGCUCAUGGUGUGUGCUGCAGAAGACAGAGCCUGGGAAGUGACUUCACCCUUUGUAGGAGGCCAGAAUGUCAUGAAUGAACCCAGUCAUUUUCAGGUUUAAAUUAGGUGAGACAAACUUCACUGAUAUUUAAUGAAAGUCACUCAAAUGCUGGAAGUGUUUUUCUUCUGUAUGGUGUUUGUUCAUGGCCUUGGGGACAGAGCAAGAAGGACUCAGCCUUCAAGGACCCAGCUGUGAAGGAAACAGCAAAGAGUCAGAAAUCUGCUACACAUAGGGAUACUUCAGCAGUGUGGCUUUGGCUACAGUAGCAGUAUUUCUGAUGCCUUGUUUGCAGGGUUACUCUUCUGCUCUCUAAAAUGAACUUAACAUUUGUUUUAAUUUU